rnacentral:rRNA from 1 species
GCCAGACUCCUACGGGAGGCAGCAGUGGGGAAUAUUGCACAAUGGGGGGAACCCUGAUGCAGCGACGCCGUGUGAGUGAAGAAGUAUUUCGGUAUGUAAAGCUCUCUCAGCAGGGAAGAAGAUGACGGUACCUGACUAAGAAGCCCCGGCUAACUACGUGCCAGCAGCCGCGGUAAUACGUAGGGGGCAAGCGUUAUCCGGAUUUACUGGGUGUAAAGGGAGCGUAGACGGCGGCGCAAGCCAGAUGUGAAAGCCCGGGGCUCAACUCCGGGACUGCAUUUGGAACUGUGUGGCUGGAGUGUCGGAGAGGCAGGCGGAAUUCCUAGUGUAGCGGUGAAAUGCGUAGAUAUUAGGAGGAACACCAGUGGCGAAGGCGGCCUGCUGGACGACAACUGACGGUGAGGCGCGAAAGCGUGGGGAGCAAACAGGAUUAGAUACCCGCGUAGG